AAGAAUUCACGGACAGCUUGGAGCACCCAUAUCAUGUGCCACUGGCGUUGCUGUCGUCACGUGAGGAGGCGCCUGCUUUGCCGGCGGAUUCCAAUUUAGGGCUCCGGCUGUGCGCAACGGGUAGGGGGCUGCAGCACUGGGCGGUCUGCAGGCGAGUGCUGCUGGAGGAAAGAUGCCUCGCUGACCCAGUCUGCGCAAUCCACUGGGAAGGUGAAUCCCGAAGCCCCUGAUGGACGAAUAGGUUGAGCUUCGGUAGUGCACCACCAGACCAGACGCCGUGUGCCUCGCGGAUGAGUGCGGUUGAACAAUCUAUCCACAAAUUUUCAGAAGAACCUACGAAAAGAGUGGUGAAACCAGAUCUUGGGUUGAGUUUUUACUCGUUGGGUGACGCUUAUGACUUACAAUUUGUAUUCUUUGGUGUGUUGUCUGAUCUGUGCUGGACGCUUAUCCAUCCAUGUAUUAAGUGUUUAUUGUUUUAAACAUUUGUAAUGAUCCCAGGUUGGGAUAUAUAUCUAGUUAGUAGUGACCUGAAUAAAAACAGAGACUUAAGCUUUCA